GCCCGGGUGGUGUAGUGGUUUGCAUUCCAUGAGGCGGGCCGUUAGAAUUAGCGCUGGCAGCUGUGUUGUAUUCCUAUCCUGCCUCAUGGGGCCCAGGUUCGAUUCCUGGCGCGGGCA